AUGACAACGGGUUCUCAAGACGAAGGUUCAACCAUGGCAGGUUCAAUUUGGCCAAAGUGGAAGGGGGACUCACCAACCCGCCUGGCCAGCGUGGUGUCCGCUAUUGUACUGACCCAGUCCGGCACGGGAGAUUCUCAUGACUUGAAAUGUGUAGUCAGUGGGUUCACUCUUAGUGACUAUGGUAUGAACUGGGUUCGACAGGCUCCGGGCAAAGGACUGGACGUGAUAGUUUACUAUUACUCCUCUACAAGCAAUAGCUAUGCCUCUGCCAUCCAAGGAAGAUUCACCGCCUCAAAGGACAGCUCCAAUUUCUACUUACACAUGACAAGCCUGAAAGCUGAAGACACCGCCGUUUAUUACUGUGCUCGGAGACACAAUGAGAAGAACUCAUGCUGA